rnacentral:rRNA from 1 species
GCCAGCGGUGAUAGCAUGUUGAAUGUACCAAUUCCUGAUGGAUCACUGAAGUUAAGUAACAUUGCGCGUGGUUGGUAUCCGGAAUGGUCACCGUCUGGAGAAUAGCAUGCCGCUGGCU